GUCGUUCACAUUUGAAACAUCCACGUCAGUUUGAGCGGGUCUCCUGUAUUUCUGCUGCAGGAGUUUAUGGAUUAAUAUCGGGAUCGUUUUACAUCUACACGUUAAAUAUGAGCAUCGGGACGUCAACAAAGAACAGAAGACUUGAGAUCUGACCUCUCAGGCACCCACAACCAGCGUCUGAUCGGGAUGGAGCACCAACCCCAUUCCAGGAAGAGGUCCAGUCUGCCCCGGGUCAGAACCACUUCUAUAGCAACUACACAAAUAUGUAUGCACUUAUCAUUAUUGAUAGCCAGUCUGAGCCAGAAGACAAAAUGGAGCAACGCACAGAAUACCUGAAUGCGGCACACAUUGUUGCAGAACUCUCUGCAACAAUAACAAAUACAUCUUGCAGCAGGUUCAAUAUUAAUGGAGCCAAUGUGUGGGAUGGAGCAAUCCGCGGCUUCAAAGGUGCCUCAUUCGAUCCCUCUCAUGUCAGUUAAGUUCACUGAUGAUGAGGGACACACUGAGGAUGGAGUGGACACUGGUGGUCCCAAGCAUGAGUUCCUGACCCUCCUUAUGGAAUGCCUGAGAAUGCGAAGAAAACAUCACGUCAGCAACUGUUUGUGCCCCAUGGCGGUGUGACUUUCCCAGCCGCUCACUGUCUCAAAAUCUGAUUCUAAAUGUAUAAUGUUCUCUUUAAAGAUAUAACUAAUACACAAUUAUGAAUGUAUAUUCUAUAACACAUAGGUUUGAGCAAGCUCUCUGAUUAGUCAAUAGGCGUGUUUGAUUCCACGAUCAAACAACGAUCAAAUAGAACGUGCCUAAUCACAAAGUAUCCAGUGGCCUACACACGCCACUAGCCUACCGAAACUACUUCCAUGAGCCUACAUCGUGUGGUUUCCAUAGCGACGUUUAGCGACACACAGCCGUUACACUGUCAUUGUCUCUUGUUGGAAAUCGGUAGCUACAAAAUGUCAGAUUUUAAAGGACACAGACCACAAAACCAACGAAAGAUUUGCUGCUGUUUCAACUGACGAGUUGAGUGCGUUGGAAAAAAGUGUGGAGCAACGCGCUUUUUGCCGGUCCGGGACACGCCAUGAAACGGCCACUGGAGGAAAGCUCUUCCUAUAACGUAGACCUACCCGUGAACACCACAGCACCACCUGCAAAAAAGUCUGGCAUGGAGUUCAUGGAGAGCUGUUUCAAGAAUUGCACUUUUAAUGGCAGCAUGAACAUCCACCUUCAUUCUGAACCCAAAAUGUUUCAGCACCAUGGACAGCCUGAUUUGAUUUGUUCCGCUAAUCCCACACAGUGAUUACUCAGAUAUUUAAAUAGCCUAAUUCAAGAAUUGUUUUCAAUAAAUUGGUUAAUAA